GGAGAAGUUAUUAGCUCAGUGGUAGAGUGCAUGCUUUGUAUGUAUGAUGUCCUGGGUUCAAGCCCCAGCUGCUCCC
rnacentral:tRNA from 1 species